rnacentral:rRNA from 1 species
UGGCUCAGGAUGAACGCUAGCUACAGGCUUAACACAUGCAAGUCGAACGGGGAACGGAUUCGUCCGUUCCCAGUGGCAAACGGGUGAGUAACACGUAUCCAACCACCCCGCGACACGGGGAUAGCCUUCUGAAAGGGAGAUUAAUACCCGGUACACUGUUUAUAGCGCAUGCUAUUUUCAGUAAAGUUCCGGCGGUCGCGGACGGGGAUGCGCUCCAUUAGAUAGUCGGCGGGGUAACGGCCCACCGAGUCUAUGAUGGAUAGGGGUUCUGAGAGGAAGGUCCCCCACAUUGGAACUGCGACACGGUCCAAACUCCUACGGGAGGCAGCAGUGAGGAAUAUUGGUCAAUGGGCGAAGGCCUGAACCAGCCAAGUAGCGUGAAGGAUGACAGCCCUAUGGGUUGUAAACUUCUUUUGGUCGGGAAUAACAGACACCACUUGUGGUGUUUUGCAUGUACCGGCCGAAUAAGGAUCGGCUAACUCCGUGCCAGCAGCCGCGGUAAUACGGAGGAUCCGAGCGUUAUCCGGAUUUAUUGGGUUUAAAGGGAGCGUAGGCGGGAAGUCAAGUCAGCUGUGAAAUGCGCACGCUCAACGUACGCCUUGCAGUUGAAACUGGUUUUCUUGAGUGCGUAAGAGGCAGGCGGAAUUCGUGGUGUAGCGGUGAAAUGCUUAGAUAUCACACAGAACACCGAUUGCGUAGGCAGCUUACUGGAGCGCAACUGACGCUGAGGCACGAAAGCGUGGGGAUCGAACAGGAUUAGAUACCCUGGUAGUCCACGCUGUAAACGAUGAUCACUAGCUAUCGGCGAUAUACAGUCGGUGGCACAGCGAAAGCGUUAAGUGAUCCACCUGGGGAGUACGCCGGCAACGGUGAAACUCAAAGGAAUUGACGGGGGCCCGCACAAGCGGAGGAACAUGUGGUUUAAUUCGAUGAUACGCGAGGAACCUUACCCGGGCUUGAAAUGCAGAGGAAUAACGGUGAAAGUCGUUAGCCAGCAAUGGUCUCUGUGUAGGUGCUGCAUGGUUGUCGUCAGCUCGUGCCGUGAGGUGUCGGCUUAAGUGCCAUAACGAGCGCAACCCUUACCAUUAGUUACUAACGGGUUAUGCCGAGGACUCUAAUGGGACUGCCACCGUAAGGUGUGAGGAAGGUGGGGAUGACGUCAAAUCAGCACGGCCCUUACGUCCGGGGCGACACACGUGUUACAAUGGGCGGCACAGAGGGCAGCGACUCCGCGAGGGGAAGCAAAUCUCAAAAAGCCGUUCUCAGUUCGGAUUGGAGUCUGCAACUCGACUCCAUGAAGCUGGAUUCGCUAGUAAUCGCGCAUCAGCCAUGGCGCGGUGAAUACGUUCCCGGGCCUUGUACUCACCGCCCGUCA